rnacentral:tRNA from 1 species
GGGGUUGUGGCUCAAUGGUAGAGCACUUGCCUGGCAUGUGUGAGGCACUGGGUUCAAUCCUCAGCACCA